rnacentral:rRNA from 1 species
GGCGGCGUGCUUAACACAUGCAAGUCGAACGAUGAUCCCAGCUUGCUGGGGAUUAGUGGCGAACGGGUGAGUAACACGUGAGUAACCUGCCCUUGACUCUGGGAUAAGCCUGGGAAACUGGGUCUAAUACCGGAUAUGACUCCUCAUCGCAUGGUGGGGGGUGGAAAGCUUUUGUGGUUUUGGAUGGACUCGCGGCCUAUCAGCUUGUUGGUGAGGUAAUGGCUCACCAAGGCGACGACGGGUAGCCGGCCUGAGAGGGUGACCGGCCACACUGGGACUGAGACACGGCCCAGACUCCUACGGGAGGCAGCAGUGGGGAAUAUUGCACAAUGGGCGCAAGCCUGAUGCAGCGACGCCGCGUGAGGGAUGACGGCCUUCGGGUUGUAAACCUCUUUCAGUAGGGAAGAAGCGAAAGUGACGGUACCUGCAGAAGAAGCACCGGCUAACUACGUGCCAGCAGCCGCGGUAAUACGUAGGGUGCGAGCGUUAUCCGGAAUUAUUGGGCGUAAAGAGCUCGUAGGCGGUUUGUCGCGUCUGUCGUGAAAGUCCGGGGCUUAACCCCGGAUCUGCGGUGGGUACGGGCAGACUAGAGUGCAGUAGGGGAGACUGGAAUUCCUGGUGUAGCGGUGGAAUGCGCAGAUAUCAGGAGGAACACCGAUGGCGAAGGCAGGUCUCUGGGCUGUAACUGACGCUGAGGAGCGAAAGCAUGGGGAGCGAACAGGAUUAGAUACCCUGGUAGUCCAUGCCGUAAACGUUGGGCACUAGGUGUGGGGGACAUUCCACGUUUUCCGCGCCGUAGCUAACGCAUUAAGUGCCCCGCCUGGGGAGUACGGCCGC